rnacentral:rRNA from 1 species
GACGAACGCUGGCGGCGUGCCUAACACAUGCAAGUCGAACGGAACUUCUUUAAAGGAUUUCUUCGGAAUGAAUUUGAUUAAGUUUAGUGGCGGACGGGUGAGUAACGCGUGAGUAACCUGCCUCUAAGAGGGGAAUAACAUUCUGAAAAGAAUGCUAAUACCGCAUAACAUAUAUUUAUCGCAUGGUAGAUAUAUCAAAGAUUUAUCGCUUAGAGAUGGACUCGCGUCCGAUUAGUUAGUUGGUGAGGUAACGGCUCACCAAGACCGCGAUCGGUAGCCGGACUGAGAGGUUGAACGGCCACAUUGGGACUGAGACACGGCCCAGACUCCUACGGGAGGCAGCAGUGGGGGAUAUUGCGCAAUGGGGGAAACCCUGACGCAGCAACGCCGCGUGAAGGAUGAAGGUCUUCGGAUUGUAAACUUCUUUUAUUAAGGACGAAGAAAGUGACGGUACUUAAUGAAUAAG